rnacentral:rRNA from 1 species
GAUGAACGCUGGCGGCGUGCCUAAUACAUGCAAGUCGAGCGAACAGACGAGGAGCUUGCUCCGCUGACGUUAGCGGCGGACGGGUGAGUAACACGUGGAUAACCUACCUAUAAGACUGGGAUAACUUCGGGAAACCGGAGCUAAUACCGGAUAAGAUGUUGAACCGCAUGGUUCAACAGUGAAAGACGGUUUUGCUGUCUCGUAUAGAUGGAUCCGCGUCGCAUUAGCUAGUUGGUAAGGUAACGGCUUACCAAGGCAACGAUGCGUAGCCGACCGGGGAGGGUGAUCGGCCACCCUGGAACGUAGCCGCGGUCCAGACGCCUACGGGAGGCAGCAGUAGGGAAUGUUCCGCAGUGGGCGGGAGCCUGACGGAGCAGCGCGGCGUGAGUUAAGGAGGUCUUGCGUUCGUAAAACUCUGUUAUUAGGUAAGAACAAAUGUGUAAGUAACUAUGCACGUCUUGACGGUACCUAAUCAGAAAGCCCCGGCUAACUACGUG